AGGGCAUGUGGGGGAUGUCUUGGCGUCAGAAGGCGAUGACGAGCGUGGAAGACUGCGAAAAGCCUGGGGUAACUGUCAAACAAGUAUUGAUCCCAGGAUUCUCUAAUUAGUUAGCACUGAAUCCAUAGGUGUUAACGGCCAACCCGGUGAACUGAAACAUCUUAGUAACCGGAGGAAAAGAAAGAAAAAUCGAUCUCGUUAGUAGCGGCGAGCGAAACCGAGGUAGCCCAAACCGCAAGGGUUUUCCCGUGCGGGGUUGUAGGGCCUCUUGUAUGUGAGUUACAAAACCAUUGAUUAGCAGAACCGGAAUGAAAGCCGGGCCACAGAAGGUGACAGCCCUGUAAGCUAAAAUCAUAUGGACUCACUAGAGGUACCUGAGUAAGUCGGGUCACGUGAAACCCCGACUGAAUCUACAGGGACCAUCCUGUAAGGCUAAAUACUCUCUGACGACCGAUAGCAAACUCAGUAGGGCGACUGAAAGAUGAAAAGAACCCCGUUGAGGGGAGUUAAAUUGAACCUGAAACCACAUGCUUACAAGCGGUCGGAGCACUAUUUAUAUAAGUGUGACGGCG
rnacentral:misc_RNA from 1 species